GAUGAACGCUGGCGGCGUGCCUAAUACAUGCAAGUCGAACGCGCAGCGAGAGGUGCUUGCACCUUUCAAGCGAGUGGCGAACGGGUGAGUAACACGUGGAUAACCUGCCUCAAGGCUGGGAUAACAUUUGGAAACAGAUGCUAAUACCGAAUAAAACUUAGUAUCGCAUGAUAUCAAGUUAAAAGGCGCCACGGCGUCACCUAGAGAUGGAUCCGCGGUGCAUUAGUUAGUUGGUGGGGUAAAGGCUUACCAAGACGAUGAUGCAUAGCCGAGUUGAGAGACUGAUCGUCCACAUUGGGACUGAGACACGGCCCAAACUCCUACGGGAGGCUGCAGUAGGGAAUCUUCCACAAUGGGCGCAAGCCUGAUGGAGCAACGCCGCGUGUGUGAUGAAGGCUUUCGGGUCGUAAAGCACUGUUGUAUGGGAAGAAAUGCUAAAAUAGGGAAUGAUUUUAGUUUGACGGUACCAUACCAGAAAGGGACGGCUAAAUACGUGCCAGCCGCCGCCGUAACAC
rnacentral:rRNA from 1 species